rnacentral:rRNA from 1 species
UGUCCUUAGUUACCAGCAUUAAGUUGGGUACUUUAAGGAGACUGCCGGUGACAAACCGGAGGAAGGUGGGGACGACGUCAAGUCAUCAUGGCCCUUACGAGUAGGGCUACACACGUGCUACAAUGGCGAGUACAAAGGGAUGCAAACUGGUGACAGUAAGCGGACCCCUUAAAGCUCGUCGUAGUCCGGAUUGGAGUCUGCAACUCGACUCCAUGAAGUCGGAAUCGCUAGUAAUCGUAGGUCAGCAUACUACGGUGAAUACGUUC